rnacentral:rRNA from 1 species
AGCACAGAAGAGCUUGCUCUUUGGGUGGCGAGUGGCGGACGGGUGAGUAAUGUCUGGGAAACUGCCCGAUGGAGGGGGAUAACUACUGGAAACGGUAGCUAAUACCGCAUAACGUCGCAAGACCAAAGUGGGGGACCUUCGGGCCUCACACCAUCGGAUGUGCCCAGAUGGGAUUAGCUAGUAGGUGGGGUAAUGGCUCACCUAGGCGACGAUCCCUAGCUGGUCUGAGAGGAUGACCAGCCACACUGGAACUGAGACACGGUCCAGACUCCUACGGGAGGCAGCAGUGGGGAAUAUUGCACAAUGGGCGCAAGCCUGAUGCAGCCAUGCCGCGUGUAUGAAGAAGGCCUUCGGGUUGUAAAGUACUUUCAGCGGGGAGGAAGGCGGUGAGGUUAAUAACCUUGCCGAUUGACGUUACCCGCAGAAGAAGCACCGGCUAACUCCGUGCCAGCAGCCGCGGUAAUACGGAGGGUGCAAGCGUUAAUCGGAAUUACUGGGCGUANAGCGCACGCAGGCGGUCUGUUAAGUCAGAUGUGAAAUCCCCGGGCUUAACCUGGGAACUGCAUUUGAAACUGGCAGGCUUGAGUCUCGUAGAGGGGGGUAGAAUUCCNGGUGUAGCGGUGAAAUGCGUAGAGAUCUGGAGGAAUACCGGUGGCGAANGCGGCCCCCUGGACGAAGACUGACGCUCA